rnacentral:lncRNA from 1 species
AAGUUGCUCCUGUCUCCACACCUCAGGGGGAAGGGCAGGAGAGGAACUGACCAGCUCUAAUAAUGAAGGUGUGUAACCUGCUGAUGACCGGGAGUGAUUUAACCAACCCCUGCAAUAGCCCAGCAAGGUGGGAAGUCGUUGAGAUGGGCCUCACUAUGUUGGCCUUUAACUCAACUCUUCUUCCCUCAACCUCAGUAGCAGGGACUCCAUGCCUACUGCUUCCUGCUGGGAAGUCUUUCUAAUCCUUAGGUUGAGUCCUGAGUAGGGAGUGGGAACCCCGGCUCCAGCCUCUGAAGUUCAGUGCAGCAGAACUGGGAAGGGCAGUGAGAUGAGCCAGGCCUGGGUGUGACCCCCCAUAUCACCCCCAAGGAGGCCCUGAAGCCAAGCUGCUCCUCCUGCUCCCAAGUUGCCCCUCCAAUACCCCGCAGAGGGGGUGGGGAGGGCCUGGUGCAGGUGACAGGUGAAUGGGGAGGGAAGGUGGGGUGGUAAUAGGAGUGGGGGCAACGGAGAUGGGAAGUUGGGCUGCACAUUGAACACUCCCCGCCCCACGGUGGGCCAUCCCCUCCCUGUGUGGAGCUCUCCUGCCCCCUGGAAGCCAUUGGAAGAAUCACCCUGUUCCCAUUAUAGUGCUUGUUAAAGUCUCAGAAAGGAGCAGCUGCUGGAUCCAGAGGGUUCUAGAUGUGGGUGCAGGGAGCGGGAUUAACCCUCACUGAGCUCCCACUAGGAGCCUGGCACUGCUUUGUACAAUUUCAUUUAAUCCUCAGAGCUUCCCUAAGGAGUAGCUGUUCCUAUGCCAGUUUAUAGGCGAGGAAGAGGCUCUGAGAGGUGAAGUGGCUGCCUGAGGCCACACAGCAGGCAAGGCUCACGUGGGCUCUCAGGCCUCCUGGGUGUGGAGGGAGAAGUUACUGAUACGGGGAUCCUUGUGUGACAAAAGAAAUGACAUUGCGGCCUUUCCCGGGAUCGGCCACCGGGGGCGCCAACGAGGAGAGAGGGCCUCCGGGCCUGCACCAGAGCAGUGGGCAAUGGGCAGGCUCUGGGCCUCUCUGGAGCCUCCCAAGGCCUCUUCUGCACACUCGC